rnacentral:lncRNA from 1 species
UCUUGUGCCAUGCAUUCUUCUGCGUCCAUCCCUGCAGUACAUGCGCUCAUCCCGUUCGUGGUGAACGACGCGGUACCACUGAGAUUAACUUGGAUACCUCCACUAACACACGGCUCCCACACAAACUCAGAAAGCUCGUGUAUGACCAAGCUAAGAAAUAGACAAACAGACACACAAUUUUAUUCUAACAGAGAUCCUUCGUCUCCGUGCCCGUUCUUGGCGUGAUCCUUGUU